AUUGAACGCUGGCGGCAGGCCUAACACAUGCAAGUCGAACGGUAACAGAAAGCAGCUUGCUGCUUUGCUGACGAGUGGCGGACGGGUGAGUAAUGUCUGGGAAACUGCCUGAUGGAGGGGGAUAACUACUGGAAACGGUAGCUAAUACCGCAUAACGUCGCAAGCCCAAAGAGGGGGACCUUCGGGCCUCUUGCCAUCGGAUGUGCCCAGAUGGGAUUAGCUAGUAGGUGGGGUAACGGCUCACCUAGGCGACGAUCCCUAGCUGGUCUGAGAGGAUGACCAGCCACACUGGAACUGAGACACGGUCCAGACUCCUACGGGAGGCAGCAGUGGGGAAUAUUGCACAAAGGGCGCAAGCCUGAUGCAGCCAUGCCGCGUGUAUGAAGAAGGCCUUCGGGUUGUAAAGUACUUUCAGCGGGGAGGAAGGGAGUAAAGUUAAUACCUUUGCUCAUUGACGUUACCCGCAGAAGAAGCACCGGCUAACUCCGUG
rnacentral:rRNA from 1 species